rnacentral:rRNA from 1 species
GAUGAACGCUAGCGGCAGGCUUAACACAUGCAAGUCGAGGGGCAUCGAGAGUAGCAAUACUUGUCGGCGACCGGCGCAAGGGUGCGUAACACGUGAGCAACAUACCCGUUUCAGGAGGAUAACCGGAGGAAACUCUGCCUAAUACUCCAUGACAUCAUCAAACGGCAUCGUUUGAUGAUUAAAGAUUUAUCGGAAACGGCUUGGCUCGCGGGACAUUAGCUCGUUGGUGAGGUAACGGCUCACCAAGGCGACGAUGUCUAGGGGUUCUGAGAGGAAGGUCCCCCACACUGGAACUGAGACACGGUCCAGACUCCUACGGGAGGCAGCAGUGAGGAAUAUUGGACAAUGGUCGGAAGACUGAUCCAGCCAUGCCGCGUGAAGGUUACUGUCCUAUGGAUAUUAAACUUCUUUUGUAUGAGAGCAAUAAGGUGCACGUGUGCACCGAUGAGAGUAUCAUACGAAUAAGCAUCGGCUAA